AGCAGCCGCGGUAAUUCCAGCUCCAAUAGCGUAUAUUAAAGUUGUUGCAGUUAAAAAGCUCGUAGUUGAAUUUCGGGAUCAUCAGGUUGGUCGUGCCUCUGGUAUGUACUGAUUUCGAUGGUUCCUCCUUCUUGAAGAACCGUAAUGCCAUUAAUUUGGUGUUUGCGGGGAAACAGGACUGUUACUUUGAAAAAAUUAGAGUGUUUAAAGCAGGCAAUCGCUUGAAUACAUUAGCAUGGAAUAAUGAAAUAGGACGUUCGAUCCUAUUUUGUUGGUUUCUAGGAUUUGACGUAAUGAUUAAUAGGGAUAGUUGGGGGCAUUAGUAUUCGAAUUGUCAGAGGUGAAAUUCUUGGAUUUAUUGAAGACUAACUACUGCGAAAGCAUUUGCCAAGGAUGUUUUCAUUAAUCAAGAACGAAAGUUAGGGGAUCGAAGACGAGUCAGAUACCGUCGAAGUUCUUAACCAAUAAACUAUGUCCGACUAGGGAUCGGGAUGAUGUUAAUUUUUAAUGACUCUAUUUC
rnacentral:rRNA from 1 species